rnacentral:tRNA from 1 species
GGGGCUAUAGCUCAAAGGAAGAGCAGCGCUCUGCAAAAGCGUAUGGGUGGAGGUUCAAGUCCUCCUAGCCCCU